rnacentral:tRNA from 1 species
AGCAGAGUAGUAUAAAGAGUACAGCGGGCUCAUACCCUGCGGGUGGGAGUUUGUGCCCCCUUUGCUU